rnacentral:rRNA from 1 species
AACGAACGCUGGCGGCAUGCCUAACACAUGCAAGUCGAACGAGACCUUCGGGUCUAGUGGCGCACGGGUGCGUAACGCGUGGGAACCUGCCCUUAGGUUCGGAAUAACUCCCCGAAAGGGGUGCUAAUACCGGAUAACGUCUUCGGACCAAAGAUUUAUCGCCUUUGGAUGGGCCCGCGUUGGAUUAGCUAGUUGGUAGGGUAAAAGCCUACCAAGGCGACGAUCCAUAGCUGGUCUGAGAGGAUGAUCAGCCACACUGGGACUGAGACACGGCCCAGACUCCUACGGGAGGGAGGAGUGGGGGAUAUUGGACAAUGGGCGAAAGCCUGAUCCAGCAAUGCCGCGUGAGUGAUGAAGGCCUUAGGGUUGUAAAGCUCUUUUACCCGGGAUGAUAAUGACAGUACCGGGAGAAUAAGCUCCGGCUAACUCCGUG